AACGAACGCUGGCGGCGUACCUAACACAUGCAAGUCGAACGAGAAAUUCCGAUUCGUCGGGAGAGUAAAGUGGCGAACGGGUGAGUAACGUGAGGGUAAUCUUCCCUUAAAUUAGGAAUAACCUUGCGAAAGCGAAGCUAAUUCCUGAUAAGACUACGAUCUGUUAGCAGAUAGCAGUAAAAGAUGGCCUCUGUUUUAAGCUAUUGUUUAAGGAUGAGCCCUCAUACUAUUAGCUAGUUGGUGAGGUAAUGGCUCACCAAGGCGACGAUGGUUAGCUGGUCUAAGAGGAUGGCCAGCCACACUGGAACUGAGACACGGUCCAGACUCCUACGGGAGGCAGCAGUGAGGAAUAUUGCGCAAUGGGGGAAACCCUGACGCAGUGACGCCGCGUGAGUGAUGAAGGCCUUCGGGUUGUAAAGCUCUGUUAAGUGGAAAGUACCAUUCUAGUGAUAAUACCACUGGAAUCUGACGGUACCACUAGAGGAAGCACCGGCUAACUCCGUGCCAGCAGCCGCGGUAAUACAGAGGGUGCAAGCGUUGUUCGGAAUUAUUGGGCGUAAAGAGCGUGUAGGCGGUUAGACAAGUCAGUUGUGAAAUCCCUUAGCUCAACUGAGGAAGUGCAUUUGAAACUGUCUGACUGGAGUACAGGAGAGGAAAGUGGAAUUCCCAGUGUAGAGGU
rnacentral:rRNA from 1 species